rnacentral:lncRNA from 1 species
GUAGUUCACCAAAAACUCCACACUCUCACCUCUCUGCCGUAUUUCAGGGUUAUCUAUCUAGGUUAUAAACGGUUUCUUGGUUCCAACCACGUCCUACCUCUCUCUUCUAAUUUAGGUGGACAACCUCAACAACGCUCCCCAUAUCAAACUUCCCACCAUCACCAUCGAUCUCCCUCACCGGCAUCCCAAAACUUGCAUCAAAAAUAUCUGAUUUUCUUGAUUCUUGCUCUGAAUAAAACCGGGUUUUGUUUUCAUUCAUCCGCAUCAUGGAUUCCUCUUCGGGAUCAGAAUUUGAUUAUUUGUUCAAGUUAUUUAUGAUUCGGGAUUCCGGAUUUGGCCUGGUGCUGCUAAAUAUGCAUCAUUUUCUUUAAGCAUGUUGUUUAAUUUCGACGACAGUAACCUGCGUAUAAUCUGCCGAAUCAGGAAGCUUCGCCAUUUAGGUGAUGUUCAUACAUCGUUUACAAGGUAAAUUAGCUCCGUGAUGGUAUAGUUUCAUAUUUGUAGCUUGAUCUUUGAUUAACGGAUUAGGCUGGGUUUGUAAUUUGUAUCCAUUCCUUCGGUUCCAUUUGGUUUUGAUGCAAAAUUGAUGUGGCGAAUAGAGAUCCAUCUAAAGUUCGCUAAUUCUGAGACAUAUGCUUGAUGUCUGAGAUUGGUCAGGCUUCUCCAAGUGUGAUUACAAAAGCCCAAUCCGAAGCUCUUGCUGGUGGAUGCACUUUCAAGAUGAUUCAACAUACAUAUGUGAGACUGCAACAAAGACUUGCCAGAUGACCUUGCUCAGUUAGGUUAAUUUUAGUGGAGCUUUUGCCUUUUGGUGGACAUUUGCCAACUUUUAAAGUCUGCUAUUUUUUUGCAAACGGUGUGCACAAAGAGGUCCUGAUUCAGUGUGUUCAUGAGUUGGUUACGGCAUCAAUGAAGUAAAAAGAAACCCACACGUAAUUACAUGUUUUUGGAGCUUGAGGAGCCAUGUCAUCAUGGAUACAAGCACGGAAGGACAAGGGGUCAAAAAGUAAACACUAAAGCUAUGCGUAAAUUCGGACGCACGAGGUGAUGAGAAGAAAUACACUCAUGCUAAUUUCCAAGGCAGUUGUAGCCAUUCGGUUUUUUCAGUGGACACUGGACAAUAGGAAUGGUCAAAGUCAACCAUAAAAUUGAUGGAAAAGACACAGCUCCAAGGAGAAAUCCCAUCAGAUGCAUUCCAUCCUCAGUUAGAGAGUUUACGUGUCACAAUCUUGAAAAUACUGAAAUAGAGCUUUCAAAGGAAUCUGAAAUUGUUAUUAAUCCAUUUCAUAAAUGAGCUAGAAGGUGGACACGAAUGAAUGUUGGACAACUUGACAGACCCCGGGUGAGCAAGCUGAACCCAACACAGAAGGUUGGACAAUUUUAGAAGCUGUGACUAAACCAACUGCAAUGUCAUAUGACGUUUAAUAGUAACAUCUUAAAGUUUUGUUUUGUUGAGACUUGAGUUAUUUUUGUUCUCAAAGGAUUGCAAGAUUAAAUAUUAGUUAUGUUGGUUUGUGAGAUAAAGAUAUUAAGAGAACCAACGAAAUUGAACAUUAGUCUGGUGUCUAAUUUUGA